rnacentral:snoRNA from 1 species
ACCCGGGCUGAUAACUAGAUGGUUUGAUCGGGCAGUUUCGUACUGUGUAAUCUCAGUCCCAUACUGUCUUUUAAGUGUCCGGAAAAGCGACGGUUUGAAAAUGCUUCUUACACGAUUUGGAUUCGUCAAUAUUCCAUCAAUCGUUUACUUUUUCACGACAUUU